rnacentral:rRNA from 1 species
UUGCGGUUAAAAAGCUCGUAGUUGGAUCUCGGCGGGCAGGGGGUGGUUCGCUCUUCAGCGCUACUGCCCCGCUUUGCCCGUGUGAUUGGCGGAGGUUUCGGGGUGCUCUUCGUUGAGUGACUCGGAGCGCCGUCAGGUUUACUUUGAAAAAAUUAGAGUGCUCAAAGCAGGCUUUUCACGCUUGAAUAUUCGUGCAUGGAAUAAUGGAAUAGGAACUCGUUUCUAUUUUGUUGGUUUUCGGAAAUCGAGUUAAUGAUUAACAGGGACAAUUGGGGGCAUUAGUAUUCAGACGACAGAGGUGAAAUUCUUGGACCGUCUGAAGACUGACUACUGCGAAAGCAUUUGCCAAGAGUGUUUUCAUUAAUCAAGAACGAAAGUUAGAGGUUCGAAGGCGAUCAGAUACCGCCCUAGUUCUAACCAUAAACGAUGCCAGCUAGCGAUCUGCCGAGUUUUUUUUGUAGGCUCCGCAGGAAGCUUUCGGGAAACCAAAGCUUUUGGGUUCCGGGGGAAGUAUGGUUGCAAAGCUGAAACUUAAAGGAAUUGACGGAAGGGCACCACCAGGAGUGGAGCCUGCGGCUUAUUUUGACUCAACACGGGAAAUCUCACCAGGCCGGACACUGGAAGGAUUGACAGAUUGA